rnacentral:tRNA from 2 species
AUUUAAGUAGUUUAUAUAAAAUAUUGAUUUGUGGUAUCAAAGUAGUUAUUUAUUAACCUUAAAUA